GAUGAAGAACGUAGUGAAAUGCGAUAAUUAAUGUGAAUUGCAGAAUUUAGUGAAUCAUCGAAUCUUUGAACGCACAUUGCGCCCGCUAGUAUUCUGGCGGGCAUGCCUGUCCGAGCGUCAUUUCAACCCUCAAGCCCCCGGGCUUGGUGUUGGGGAUCGGCGAGCCUCCGCGCCCGCCGUCCCCUAAAUCUAGUGGCGGUCUCGCUGUAGCUUCCUCUGCGUAGUAGCACACCUCGCACUGGGAAACAGCGCGGCCACGCCGUUAAACCCCCAACUUCUGAACGUUUGACCUCGGAUCAGGUAGGAAUACCCGCUGAACUUAAGCAUAUCAAUAAGCGGAGGA
rnacentral:misc_RNA from 1 species